rnacentral:tRNA from 1 species
UCCCUGUGGUCUAGUGGUUAAGACUCCACACUUCCACUGCAGGGGGUGCGGGUUUGAGCCCUGUCCAGGGAA